rnacentral:rRNA from 1 species
AUUGAACGCUGGCGGCAGGCCUAACACAUGCAAGUCGAGCGGAUGAAGGGAGCUUGCUCCUGGAUUCAGCGGCGGACGGGUGAGUAAUGCCUAGGAAUCUGCCUGGUAGUGGGGGAUAACGUCCGGAAACGGGCGCUAAUACCGCAUACGUCCUGAGGGAGAAAGUGGGGGAUCUUCGGACCUCACGCUAUCAGAUGAGCCUAGGUCGGAUUAGCUAGUUGGUGGGGUAAAGGCCUACCAAGGCGACGAUCCGUAACUGGUCUGAGAGGAUGAUCAGUCACACUGGAACUGAGACACGGUCCAGACUCCUACGGGAGGCAGCAGUGGGGAAUAUUGGACGAUGGGCGAAAGCCUGAUCCAGCCAUGCCGCGUGUGUGAAGAAGGUCUUCGGAUUGUAAAGCACUUUAAGUUGGGAGGAAGGGCAGUAAGUUAAUACCUUGCUGUUUUGACGUUACCAACAGAAUAAGCACCGGCCAACUUCGUG